GUUUUGGCAUAGGCUCGGGCUUGGGCUCUGGCUUUGGUUCAGGUUUGGGCAUCGGGUAAGGCUUGGGCUCAGGUUUUGGUUCGGGCUUUGGCAUCGGCUCCGGCUUCGGUUCCGGUUUGGGCUCUGGCUUUGGCAUGGGCUCAGGUUUGGGCAUAGGCUUAGGCUCUGGCUUUGGCAUGGGUUCAGGCUUAGGCAUUGGCUCUGGCUUGGGUUCCGGCUUGGGCUCCGGGUACGGCGUCGGCUUGGGCUCCGGCUCCGGGAGCUUCUCAGCGAGGCCACGGCCAGCGGCGGCCGCCUGGCUGAAGCCGGAGGCCGCGACUAGCCCGACGAGGAGCACGGCAAGGAGGCUGUGCCUCGCCAUUGCUGCCCGCUCCUCCUUCUCGCAGCUCUUGCUGCACUUGUGCUUCACUGCUUCUAAACCUCUCUACUGAGAUAAAGUGGAUGGGGUGUCGGUGUGGUUCCUCUGAAUGGUGGUGUGGAGAACCGGAGAUGGCAUAUGGGGUGGCUUUAUAGGGCGGAGGGACCAAGCAGGUUGGGACGCGUGUGCCACACUCCCGAAUCCCGAUCGACCAGUGCCUGUGGGUCUCCGGGUGGAUCAGGUUACCUCAACUUUUCAUCUGCCGUCUGCACCUUCCUCCCGCCUGGACUGCAAGGCAGCGGCAGUACUAGUAAUGAGAAGAGACCGCGGACAGUAAAUUCGUGCUGUGGACGCCG
rnacentral:rRNA from 1 species